UGGGGAAUAUUGCACAAUGGAGGAAACUCUGAUGCAGCAACGCCGCGUGAGUGAUGAAGGUCUUCGGAUUGUAAAGCUCUGUCUUCUGGGACGAUAAUGACGGUACCAGAGGAGGAAGCCACGGCUAACUACGUGCCAGCAGCCGCGGUAAUACGUAGGUGGCAAGCGUUGUCCGGAAUUAUUGGGCGUAAAGGGCGUGCAGGCGGCCAGGCAAGUCUGUCUUAAAAGUGCGGGGCUUAACCCCGUGAUGGGAUGGAAACUGUCAGGCUAGAGUGUCGGAGAGGAAAGCGGAAUUCCUAGUGUAGCGGUGAAAUGCGUAGAUAUUAGGAGGAACACCAGUGGCGAAGGCGACUUUCUGGACAACAACUGACGUUGAGGCACGAAAGUGUGGGGAGCAAACAGGAUUAGAUACCCUGGUAGUCCACACUGUAAACGAUGGAUACUAGGUGUAGGGAGUGUUAAACUUUCUGUGCCGCCGCAAACGCAAUAAGUAUCCCACCUGGGGAGUACGACCGCAAGGUUG
rnacentral:rRNA from 1 species